GGAAUCUUGGGCAAUGGGCGCAAGCCUGACCCAGCCAUGCCGCGUGUGUGAAGAAGGCCUUCGGGUUGUAAAGCACUUUCAGUGGUGAAGAAACGCCUGGGGCUAAUACCCUCGGGUCUUGACGUUAACCACAGUCGAAGCACCGGCUAACCCCGUGCUAGAACCCGCGGUAAUACGGAGGGUGCGAACGUUAAUCGGAAUUACUGGGCGUAAAGCGCGCGUAGUCGGUUCGAUAAGUGGGAUGUGAAAGCCCCGGGCUCAACCUGGGAACUGCAUUCCAAACUGUCGGGCUAGAGUAUGGUAGAGGGAGGUAGAAUUUCCUGUGUAGCGGUGAAAUGCGUAGAUAUAGGAAGGAAUACCAGUGGCGAAGGCGGCCUCCUGGACCAAUACUGACGCUGAGGUGCGAAAGCGUGGGGAGCAAAC
rnacentral:rRNA from 1 species